rnacentral:rRNA from 1 species
UACGAAGGGGCUAGCGUUGCUCGGAAUCACUGGGCGUAAAGCGCACGUAGGUGGGUCGUUAAGUCGGGGUGAAAUCCUGGAGCUCAACUCCAGAACUGCCUUCGAUACUGGCGAUCUUCGAGUCCGGGAGAGGCGAGUGGAACUGCGAGUGUAGAGGUGAAAUUCGUAGAUAUUCGCAAGAACACCAGUGGCGAAGGCGGCUUGAACUGGUCCGGGUUCCUG